UAGUCAAAAAGAGAAUGCUCA
rnacentral:piRNA from 1 species